GCGCUACGAGCAAGCUUUUGCAGAAGAUACUACUGAUAGGAGGGAGAAGUAUGGAAAACGAUAUGAGAGGAAAUUCAACAAACAUGCCCUCCCCAACUCGACUGUAUUUUUCUUGCCUGAUGAUCUCCAUGUAGGCAAGAGGAUGAGGCUCCAUAUAACUAAAUCAUCAAACAAGGCUAGAAUUUUGCCUCGACAGGUUGCUGACACCCUGUCCUUUUCAACUAAUAUGUUAGCAGAAAUUUUAAAGCGCUUCUCGGUGAAACCUGAAUCACGUCAAGGCAAGAUGAUAAAGCAAACCGUGGAGGACUGUGAGUCUCCAGCAAUUAAAGGAGAAGACAGAUAUUGCCCCAGAUCUUUAGAAUCCUUAGUUGAUUUUGGUGUGAAACAUGUUGGAAACAAAGCUCAAGUCCUUAUGAACGAGGUAGAUAAGCCUACAAGGGAGCAAGAGUAUACUAUUAUGGGAGUGAAAUUUAUAGGAGAAAAUCACGUGGUGUGCCACAAGCAAAAAUACCCAUAUGCUGUGUAUUAUUGCCAUGCACUCAAAGGCACUAAGGUUUAUAUGGCUCCAGUGAUAGGCGCUGAUGGCACAAAAGCUAAAGCAGUAGCCAUUUGCCACACAGAUACCUCAAAUUGGAAUCCAGGGCACCUGGCCUUCUUGCUUCUGAAUAUGAAGCCUGGUGAAGGAACUGUUUGCCACUUCAUUAGAAGUGAUACUUUUGUCAUGGUUUCCAGUUCUGAUGUUGUGGAAAAAGCUCCAGCACCAAUCUCCUCAUGAGCAACUCUCAUAAUUUUAUGUGUGCUUGAAGUUACUCUAUGUUAUGUUGAAUAAAUGUUGGGCUCUACUCAACUUAUUUUCUUCUUCCAACAUGCAUGGUCAUGAGUUAAUUGUGAUGUAUUGUUCAGCUUGAAUCCAUCACCGUUUGAACCAACCUAACUUGUAUUAUCAAG
rnacentral:misc_RNA from 1 species